rnacentral:ncRNA from 1 species
GUGUCUAUUAAAAGGAGAGACCGUUCGCACUCCCCUUGACAAGGAUGGAACACAUAAAUUGCCUAAAGCACUACUUGACCACUUUUUUUU